ensembl:lincRNA
GUGUGAAAUCAGAGGGUCUAGUCACAGCAGUGCUUCAUCCUCUCAUGCUCCUUCCUGCCACAGGGCCUUUGCAGAGGCUGCCGUGCCUGUUGAAACCUCUUCCCACCAGGCAGCGCCAGCGACUCCUCCUCACUCUCAGCUCAAGUGCUGCCUUCCAUGACCUCUCUAAAUGGCCCACAGUCAUCGGAGGAUCCAGGGAGGAUGAAGUGUUUCCUGAAGGCUGCGAGCCCAACUGCUCCUUUGCCCUUUGCCAUGGCAGCUGGCUGACAGAAUCACCCCACCCCUGCCCCCCAGGCAGUGAGUCCUCAAAGGCCCAGACUCCUCCUCCAUCUCUCUGCUGCUUUAGGACCAGCGCUGCGCCCAGCCCAUGUUAAAACACGUAGAGCGAUUCUAGCCUCAUUCUGUUCACAUGAGGAAAAUCCCUUAGAAUGUGCACCUACCGCACCAGAACCUUCUGUCAACGGAAGGAGAUGACCGAUCUCUGCUCUCUGCUUGGAUUCUUCUGACCAAUUCUCAAGGGCCCAAAGUAUUUACCGAAUUUUUUUAAGUGUUUGUUUUUCUGAUUUUGACAACAAUACAUGCUUGUUGGAAAACUAUUUAAGUAAUGCAAGGAAGCAUUUAAAAUAGUGGUUCUCAACCGAGGGUGGUUUUCUUCCCAAGAGACCUGUGGUGACAACUGGAGACAUUUUUGGUUGCUGAGAGCGGGGGAUGGGGUGUGCCUGGUAUCUAGUGGGCAGAGGCGGGAUGCAGCUGAAUACCCGACAGCGCCCAGAACAAUCCCCACAACAGAAAACCGUCUCACCCCAAACGCCAGUAGGGCCAGGGAUGAGAAACCUGGAUGAGUAGAGAUGUCAGCGACCCAAGCUCCUCCCACCGAGAAAUAAACCCUUGGUGCUUCCGGUAAGAAAGCUCUCUGGGUGCGCAUGCGCACACCACUGCGCAAGCUCACUUGCUUCCUGUGGUAGAUCACGGUCGUCUCUCUAUCUUGCUGUUUUUAAUGCAGUUUAAUACAGUGUUUUGUAUUUAAUUAGUGCAUUUUUACUCUAGGUUUCAUUAUAUGGGUUUACUUCACAAAUCCUCUGUAGUCUGGAACUUGGGAUAUUUCCCCCAACAGUGGAUUCCCACGCGCACAGAGACUCUCUCGCCUAUGAGAUGUUGGCAUGAGUGCCCCAAAGUUACAUUUCCAGCUUGCUUUAAAACUCCGGGCUGUUGAACAUAACGGUGUCCUCUGCCAGGCCACCCUGAGGGCUGAAGGCGGCCUCCAGCUGGGACCCAGCAGAGGUCACCUCUCUCUGCAUCUGCUGCCCCACCCCCCAGGGCCAAGCUGAUAGGUGGGAAAUGACGUCACCGCAGCUGUCAUCUGCAUUUCCUUCUUGACUGGCAGAGUGGACCUUGUCACAUAGGUUGCUGACCUUCUCUGUGAAUGGAUGGUUUUACCUUUUCCUAUUGUUUUGUGAGAACUCUUUGUAUAUAAAGGCUAUCAACUCUAAGAGGACUAGAAGUUUCUCUUCCUCUCUCCUUUCCUCUCUUGCUUUCUCCCUCCCUCCUUUCCUUCCUUCCUUCCUCUUGUGCUUUCGAAGGAUGUGCCUGAUAUUCCGACGAGCAGUUCAUGAAUUACAUCAGGAAGCAGCUUUUGAAACAAACGCAUUAACAACCACCCUGAGUUUCCGCCUCCUGAUACAGCUGAGCCCCAGCCCUUUGCUCAGCUCAAGCUGUUAACCCUCGGC